rnacentral:rRNA from 1 species
CAGCCGCCGCGGUAAUACCGGCGGCCCGAGUGGCGGUCACUAUUAUUGGGCUUAAAGCGUCCGUAGCCGGGUUGGGAAGUCCUCCGGGAAAUCUGGCCGCUUAACGGUCAGAAUGCCGGAGGAUACUCCCAGCCUAGGGAGCGGGAGAGGCCGAGGGUAUUCCCGGAGUAGGGGUGAAAUCCUAUAAUCCCGGGAGGACCACCUGUGGCGAAGGCGCUCGGCGGGAACGCGUCCGACGGGGAGGGACGAAGGCCAGGGGAGCAAACCGGAUUAGAUACCCGGGUAGUCCUGGCUGUAAACGAUGCGGACUUUGUGUCGGAGAAGCUAUGAGCUUGUCCGGUGCCGGAGGGAAACCGUUGAGUCCGCCUGCUGGGGAGUACGGCCGCAAGGCUGAAACUUAAAGGAAUUGGCGGG